UAUGCUUCUCCUAAAGACUAAGCCAUGCAUGCCUAAGAAUAAGAGGAAGCAAUUCUCUCUGAAUCUGCGAACGGCUCCGCAAACCAGUUGUAAACUAUAGCAAGCAAGCUCGGGGCCGGCCUUCACGGGCCAGCCUCGGGUGAUAUGGAUAACCCUGGUAAUUCUGAGGCUAAUACAUGACCGUAAAACCUAGCUGACCGGCUUCGGUUGGGAUGCUGGGGGACGUGUGAUUUGGGCUUGGUAACACCGGGAAGGGGCGCACGUCUAGACCACGCUAUAAAGGUCGGUUUCCCUUCGGGGGAGCCGUCCCAGUGGCUCUUGCUGUGUGCUUCUGACCUAUCAACUAGACGGCAGCGUAAGGGACAUGCUAUGGUGACAACGGGUACAGAGGAUUAGGGUUCGAUCCCGGAGAGUGGGCCUGAGAGAUUGCUCAUACUUCUAAGGAAGGCAGCAGGCGCGCAACGUUCCCCUUGGGCAAUGCCCGAGGGCGUUAGGGGACAUAUGAAUGCCUGCCCAUUGGGUGGGCAAUUCAAAUGGGUCUGUUGUAAACAGGCUCUCGAGUAACAAUUAGAGGA
rnacentral:rRNA from 1 species